GGUGACAGCCCCGUACACAAAAAUGCACAUAUUGUGAGCUUGAUGAGUAGGGCGGGACACGUGGUAUCCUGUCUGAAUAUGGGGGGACCAUCCUCCAAGGCUAAAUACUCCUGACUGACCGAUAGUGAACCAGUACCGUGAGGGAAAGGCGAAAAGAACCCCGGCGAGGGGAGUGAAAAAGAACCUGAAACCGUGUACGUACAAGCAGUGGGAGCACGCUUAGGCGUGUGACUGCGUACCUUUUGUAUAAUGGGUCAGCGACUUAUAUUCUGUAGCAAGGUUAACCGAAUAGGGGAGCCGAAGGGAAACCGAGUCUUAACUGGGCGUUAAGUUGCAGGGUAUAGACCCGAAACCCGGUGAUCUAGCCAUGGGCAGGUUGAAGGUUGGGUAACACUAACUGGAGGACCGAACCGACUAAUGUUGAAAAAUUAGCGGAUGACUUGUGGCUGGGGGUGAAAGGCCAAUCAAACCGGGAGAUAGCUGGUUCUCCCCGAAAGCUAUUUAGGUAGCGCCUCGUGAAUUCAUCUCCGGGGGUAGAGCACUGUUUCGGCAAGGGGGUCAUCCCGACUUACCAACCCGAUGCAAACUGCGAAUACCGGAGAAUGUUAUCACGGGAGACACACGGCGGGUGCUAACGUCCGUCGUGAAGAGGGAAACAACCCAGACCGCCAGCUAAGGUCCCAAAGUCAUGGUUAAGUGGGAAACGAUGUGGGAAGGCCCAGACAGCCAGGAUGUUGGCUUAGAAGCAGCCAUCAUUUAAAGAAAGCGUAAUAGCUCACUGGUCGAGUCGGCCUGCGCGGAAGAUGUAACGGGGCUAAACCAU
rnacentral:rRNA from 1 species